UACGGAAGGGCAGCAGUGGGGAAUAUUGCACAAUGGGCGAAAGCCUGAUGCAGCUAUGCCGCGUGUAUGAAGAAGGCCUUAGGGUUGUAAAGUACUUUCAUCGGGGAGGAAAAACAAAACUAAUAAUUUUAUUUCUUGACGUUACCCGAAAAAGAAGCACCGGCUAACUCCGUGCCAGCAGCCGCGGUAAUACGGAGGGUGCUAGCGUUAAUCAGAAUUACUGGGCGUAAAGAGCACGUAGGUGGUUUUUUUAAAGUCAGAUGUGAAAUCCCUGGGCUUAACCUGGAACUGCAUUUUGAAACUGAAAUACUAGAGUAUCGUAGAGGGAGGUAGAAUUCUAGGUGUAGCGGUGAAAUGCGUAGAUAUCUGGAGGAAUACCUGUGGCGAAAGCGGCCUCCUAAACGAAUACUGACACUGAGGUGCGAAAGCGUGGGGAGCAAACAGGGAUUAGAUACC
rnacentral:rRNA from 1 species